UAGUGGCGCACGGGUGCGUAACGCGUGGGAAUCUGCCCUUGGGUUCGGAAUAACAGUUGGAAACGACUGCUAAUACCGGAUGAUGUCGUAAGUCCAAAGAUUUAUCGCCCAAGGAUGAGCCCGCGUAGGAUUAGCUAGUUGGUGAGGUAAAGGCUCACCAAGGCGACGAUCCCUAGCUGGUCUGAGAGGAUGAUCAGCCACACUGGGACUGAGACACGGCCCAGACUCCUACGGGAGGCAGCAGUAGGGAAUAUUGGACAAUGGGCGAAAGCCUGAUCCAGCAAUGCCGCGUGAGUGAUGAAGGCCUUAGGGUUGUAAAGCUCUUUUACCCGAGAUGACAAUGACAGUAACGGGAGAAUAAGCCCCGGCUAACUCCGUGCCAGCAGCCGCGGUAAU
rnacentral:rRNA from 1 species